rnacentral:lncRNA from 1 species
GCAGAAAAAUUGCUGGACUAGAGUUGUCUUAGGUCCAGAAGACCCCCUGCUGACUAAACAGGCCUCAGAUUUUUUGAAAAAAAUGCAGAGGAUAUGGUCAAAUUCCUAGGAUCUAAGUGACUAAGUGGACUAGAGAUGUACCCUCUAAUAUCAAUAAAACUUCAGGGAGACCAUCCUGGUAAUGGAAGUUUUCUGAACAAUCAGUGAAUGUGCCCAGCUCCUGUGAUCUUCCAGGCUCUGAAUGCUCUAGGCCAGUUUAUCAUCAGGCCAGUCAGGUUUUUCAGAAAUUUUGGUUCUUAAUGGAAGAAGAAUCAGUCAUUGAGAUUAUUCUUGUUGUGGCAGACUGCGGUGUCCACCAAAAUCCAUUCUCCCUUUUUUCCUGGUACAACUAG